CUAACUUUUAAUGUUUAAUCUGUGAUCAGGAGGAAGAGAGGAACAGAGAGAGACACACAUAUUCAGGGUCAGAAUCCUGCAGACGACACUUACACAGCUCUGAACCUCACCACCAUCAGCUCAGACUAUGAUACACUGCAGCAUGUUAGAGACUCUCCCAGUGAUACUUACUCAGCUCUGAACCCCACCACCAUCAGCUCAGACUAUGAUACCCUACAACAUGUUAAAGACUCUUCCAGUGACACGUACACAACCUUAAACCCUGCAACCAUGUCCUCAGAUUAUGACUCUCUGUCAGGUGUGAGGAGUCCAGCAGAGAAGAGCUUCAGCAGCAGAUCAUGAAAAAGUGCAGAGACUCUCCAAAUAGAAACCACAGAAAGUUUCACACACAACGCUGAGUGUGUAUCUCUUUCACCAUCUCUCUCUCUCACACACACCCACACACACCCACACACAAGCAACACAGUGAGGGUUUUAAUCAGAGUUCCAGCAGGAUUUCUGUCUAAUGCAGCAAAUCUUCUGUUUGUUUUCUGUUUGUGUUAUUCUAUAAAGUUUUGAUCGUUUUAAUAUUUACAAUUGUUUAUUCUUAUUCUAUACAAUUUAGCGCAGAAACCGUGUUUCCUUUACUUACAUUUUUUUUUAUUUCAUUUUAGACAGUAUAAACUCAAUAUAUUUCAUGUUUUGUUUGGUCAACUUGAUUUUGUUCAUUUAUAUAGACUCUUACCUUCCUGCAACACAUUCAAAAAACAUUGUGUUGGUAAAACUUACAAUUUCUUAUCACACCACAUUCUGUUUGAGAGAUUGAAGAACUUUGUGGACAUUUCUAUUGCACUUAAUAAUGAUUACAAUUAUCUGUUUACAUCACCUGUUUCUGAAUACUGUAUCAUUUAGCAUUUUCUUUGCAGUAAGAGCUUAUUGUAACCUUGUAAAUGCUUUAUGCUUUUCUGCUCCUUAUAAAAAAUCCAUGUGCUACACAUUUCAGUUGAGAGAGAUAACCGUUUAUUUGUAUUUCUUUUAUUUCUCUUUAUGUUACUGUUUCCUACAUAAUUCAACUAUUAGGUUAAAAGAAAAGCUAAAGUUAUUCAGAGUGCGUUUGGUGUAAAAAUGUUGUUCUGAGCAUCUGUC